rnacentral:rRNA from 1 species
UCCCAUGCCGAACACGGAAGUUAAGCUCUUCAGCGCCGAUGGUAGUUGGGGGCUUCCCCCUGUGAGAGUAGGACGCCGCCAAGC